AUACACAUCCACACAAUCAACAUGUGAACAGAGGAUGACCUGAAGAGAAAAGGCUUCAGUGGGAAAUGUUCAUUUGGCUGAAACGGCGCGCAGGACUGCAGACCUUUUAGCCUCGCCUCUCCAUCCUGCACAAGGGCCAGUUGCAGUUUGUCUCCAACCUGUCAGCAGCAGCUUGUGGUUACCAUGCCUGCAGUUUGUGGUUACCAUGCCUACAACGUCUCAACAACCGGUGCAUCCAUCCACAGCAAAACUCUGUCCUUUCAGUUGUUUAAAAGGAUCUGAACAUCCGCAGAGACCUGGAGGGGAGCGGAGCCGCUGGAAUCUCCGUCUACCUCUGACGGUUAAGGGGUACUGCGACUAGACAACACAUCAAUGCACAUCUUCAGCAUUUGCAGUGAAAAGCAGCAUCCUGAAGAUCUUAUGCCAACGAUGCUGAUGCUGCAUUGAUGAUCAAUGGCAAUUUUACAGUUGAUCAAUCUUGUGUAAUAAAUCAUGUGUACAAUUGACAUAGUCCUUAGCAAUAUCCAAUCUGAUGGUGUAUCUGUGUGUGGCUGUGAAAAGAUAUCCUAAAAAUGAAUUAUAUAUAAAAAUGUUAAUAAAGAACUUGUG